AUAUUCUGAUUCAAGCUGUCUAGGAUUCCUUUUCCUUAUUGUAAUGAAAUUCCUAAAAAAGGAUUCUCACUGUUUUACACCAUUCAAACAUCUCUUUUCUGAGGGAAUUACUUCAAUUUCAGCAGUGCUACUGUUGGCUCACAUAAACCUUCUUUCCCUAUCACAGCAAUGUUCUUGAUGGCUGUUAUAUAAGCCUAAAAAAAUAACAGAAACCUUUCCAUUUCUUAAAAAUCCUCUGUUUCAACCCUGGAUUUCUUCUGUAUCAAAAAAUUACUUCUGUUGACCUGUUUCUGAAUCCUCUCUUUCUGCAAUCUGGUACUCAAGACGGACAUAGUCCUGACAAAAUGUCAUAGUCCUUUCACUAAAGAUGGCAGAAGUAAACAGAAAAAUACUCUGACCUGCAGCACACUGGGGUGGUAUGACAUUCUUCAACUCAGAGUCCAUCAGAAGAAAAACAGAAUGAGCAAAUCGCUAGCAGUUCCAUCUAAGGGAUAUUUGGUCUGGAGGAUGAGGGCUCAGGGGAUAAAACAACAUCUGAGAAGUGCACAGGGACAUGAAUAUCUCCCUCAUGGAGACCUUGGUGCUAUGCUGGGCUGUUGCUUGUCCCCGGCAUUUCUUCAGUGUGUGAGAUGCCUGAGAAGAGGUGUCUGGAAGAGAAGGAUUUCUGGAUAAAAAUGGGUCACAGAUUUAGUGGAAGAUCAUUG